GCUGGAAUGGUGGAACUGGUAGACACGCAGGACUUAAAAUCCUGUGCCUUCAUCGGCGUGUGGGUUCGAUUCCCACUUCUAGCA
rnacentral:tRNA from 1 species